UACGUAGGGAGCAAGCGUUGUCCGGAAUCAUUGGGCGUAAAGAGCUCGUAGGCGGUUUGUCGCGUCUGCCGUGAAAGUCCGGGGCUCAACUCCGGAUCUGCGGUGGGUACGGGGCAGACUAGAGUGAUGUAGGGGAGACUGGAAUUCCUGGUGUAGCGGUGAAAUGCGCAGAUAUCAGGAGGAACACCGAUGGCGAAGGCAGGUCUCUGGGCAUUAACUGACGCUGAGGAGCGAAAGCAUGGGGGAGCGAACAGGG
rnacentral:rRNA from 1 species